rnacentral:rRNA from 1 species
AUUGAACUCUGGCGGCAGGCUUAACACAUGCAAGUCGAACGAGUGGCGGACGGGUGAGUCAUGCUUGGGAAUCUUGCUUAUGGAGGGGGAUAACUACGGGACACUGUAGCUAAUACCGCGUACCAUAGGAUGAGCCCAAGUGGGAUUAGGUAGUUGGUGAGAUAAAGGCUCACCAAGCCGACGCUCUCUAGCGGGUCUGAGCGGAGGAACAGCCACACGGGGACUGAGACACGGCCCAGACUCCGACGGGAGGCAGCAGUGGGGAAUAUUGCGCAAGGGGGGCAGCCUGACGCAGCCAUGCCGCGUGAAUGAAGAAGGCCUUCGGGUUGUAAAGUUCUUUCGGUAGCGAGGCGUUAACUACAGAAGAAGCACCGGCUAACUCCGUGCCAGCAGCCGCGGUAAUUC